rnacentral:rRNA from 1 species
UUGGAGGGCAAGUCUGGUGCCAGCAGCCGCGGUAAUUCCAGCUCCAAUAGCGUAUAUUAAAGUUGUUGCAGUUAAAAAGCUCGUAGUUGAACCUUGGGUCCGGCUGGCCGGUCCGCCUCACCGCGAGUACUGGUCCGGCUGGACCUUUCCUUCUGGGGAACCUCAUGGCCUUCACUGGCUGUGGGGGGAACCAGGACUUUUACNGUGAAAAAAUUAGAGUGUUCAAAGCAGGCCUUUGCUCGAAUACAUUAGCAUGGAAUAAUAGAAUAGGACGUGCGG